rnacentral:lncRNA from 1 species
UAAUAUAGACUAUAGCUAUGGAAAACUAUUGAGUUGCCGCUAGCCAUUUUGCCAUCGACUACAAUUCCUACCUCAAAUAUGAAUAUGCAAAACAAUUUCUCUGCAAAUCUGAUUUUCCUCAUAGACUUUACUGUCAAAUCUGAUGUUAUUCCUCUCCCUCCAGAUAAGUGCAACAGUGUUAAUAAAUACAGAUGCUGUUAAAGCAUUAAGACCCACUCUGCUCUUUGCUUUACUGCAUAUCCAUUUCAAUUCUGUUUCCCAAUCACCAAUAGACCUGUGAUGCCCCAGCCAAAGACAGAG